GUGCAAACUCAGUGACCUUCCUUGUUACUCAGCUAUAAAAACUUCCCAUCGGGCUGUCAGUGGAGUUCACAGCACGUCACUUUCAACAUAAACCAUGUUUUCUGUAGCUCUGCUGCUGCUGUUGGCAGCUGGAUGUAUGAAGUGUGAACAGUUGACACAGCCAGCCUCUGUGACUGUGCAGCCAGGUCAACGUCUGACCAUCACCUGUCAGGUCUCUUAUUCUGUUGGCAGCUACUACACAGCUUGGAUCAGACAGCCUGCAGGGAAAGAACUGGAGUGGAUUGGAAUGGAAUGUGUUGGAUGUACUGCAUACUACAAAGAUUCACUAAAGAACAAGUUCAGUAUCGACUUAGACUCUUCCAGCAACAGAGUGACUCUAAACGGACAGAAUGUGCAGCCUGAAGACACUGCUGUGUAUUACUGUGCCAGAAGAGACACAGCUGGAGGACAUACAGCCAUACAAAUGCAGUACUACAUCAGGCUAACAAUCAGUCUAGUGAAAGACAAGCUGAUCCUGGAGGAAGACCUUGAUUUCACAGAGAUGGAAUGGCACCAUCUUUACCGUCAGCAGUGA